ACGACCAUACCUGCAGUAGAAUACGGGAUCCCGUCCGCUCUCCCAUAGUCAAGCCUGCAAGGGGCGGAUUAGUAGUUGGGUCGGUGACGACCAGCGAAUACCUGCUGUUGUAUGUU
rnacentral:rRNA from 14 species